rnacentral:tRNA from 1 species
GGACAGAUGCCCGAGCGGUUAAGGGGACGGUCUCAAGUGGGAUACACACUUUCCGCUGGUAAGGGGUUGAAAUCCGUUGCGUAAGCGCGUGAGUUCGAAUCUCACUCUGUUCA